ACCAAGAGCAUGUGGUGAGGGGUAGGCACACCACAGAACUUACAAAAAAGGUACUCGAGCAGGGUUACAACCCGCUAUGGUCCUAAGCAUUUAUGUUCAAGAGCUGUAAAGAUCGAAAAAUAGUUUUCAUAUGGGAAUCUCUCCUUACUACCACCUUGGAUGCAUGCAACAAUCCUACCCUCGAUCUACCCACUGUAUGGGUCACGCUGUAUAAGCGAUUAAGCAACUAUUAGAAUUCUCCAGUAUACGUAUAGCGUAAGCCUAGAUCUGCGCGUGCGCUGCUUCGGACGUCACAGAGUUUACUGCUCGUUCAGUUUUCGAACAUAUUUGAACAUUUGUUUUGUGUUCUUAACGGCUUUGACAAAAGUUUCAACUUAAAUUUUAAGCGUUCUAUUCUAUAUCGGAUAUUUCCGUUUAACUUCUUGAUAAAUUUCCUAAUUCGCCUGAUGACGAUGACUAUACACUAUUUCAGAAAUUGUCGUCAUCACCUGAAAUAUUGUUUUGUAAACUAUUGACAAUGAAUGAAUGAAUGAAGAGGCAUUAUUGAAAAUUAAUUUUAUGGACUAAA